CGAACGGGAAAGGUUCCUUCGGGGACCGAGUAGAGUGGCGAACGGGUGAGUAACGCGUGGGAAGCUGUCCUGGGAAGGGGGAUAACCCGCCGAAAGGCGGGCUAAUACCGCAUACGCCCCGCAAGGGGGAAAGCCGAGAGGCGUCCGAGGAGGUGCCCGCGUCCGAUUAGCUAGUUGGUGAGGUAAGGGCUCACCAAGGCGACGAUCGGUAGCCGGUCUGAGAGGACGGACGGCCACACUGGGACUGAGACACGGCCCAGACUUCUACGGAAGGCAGCAGUGGGGAAUUUUGCGCAAUGGGGGAAACCCUGACGCAGCAACGCCGCGUGGAGGAAGAAGGCUUUCGAGUCGUAAACUCCUGUCCUUGGGGACGAAGCAAGUGACGGUACCCGAGGAGGAAGCCCCGGCUAACUCCGUGCCAGCAGCCGCGGUAAUACGGGGGGGGCAAGCGUUGUUCGGAAUUACUGGGCGUAAAGGGCGCGUAGGCGGCCUGAGAAGUUCUGGGUGAAAGCCCCCGGCUCAACCGGGGAAGGUCCUGGAAAACCAUCGGGCUGGAGUGCUGGAGAGGCCGGCGGAAUUUCGGGUGUAGCGGUGAAAUGCGUAGAUAUCCGAAGGAACAUCGGAGGCGAAGGCGGCCGGCUGGACAGACACUGACGCUGA
rnacentral:rRNA from 1 species